GCUUGUCUCAAAGAUUAAGCCAUGCAUGUCUAAGUAUAAAUAACUACACAGUAAAACUGCGAAUGGCUCAUUAAAACAGUUAUAGUUUAUUUGAUGGUACCUACUACUCGGAUAACCGUAGUAAUUCUAGAGCUAAUACGUGCGUAAAUCCCGACUUCUGGAAGGGACGUAUUUAUUAGAUAAAAGGCCGACCGGGCUCUGCCCGACUCGCGGUGAAUCAUGAUAACUUCACGAAUCGCACGGCCUCGUGCCGGCGAUGUUUCAUUCAAAUUUCUGCCCUAUCAACUUUUGAUGGUAGGAUAGAGGCCUACCAUGGUGGUAACGGGUGACGGAGGAUUAGGGUUCGAUUCCGGAGAGGGAGCCUGAGAAACGGCUACCACAUCCAAGGAAGGCAGCAGG
rnacentral:rRNA from 1 species